rnacentral:rRNA from 1 species
GCUAACCUGUACUAAUUGCCCGUGAGGCUUAACCAUACAACACCGAAGGGGUUUUGU